ACGUAGGUGGCAAGCGUUAUCCGGAAUUACUGGGCGUAAAGCGCACGCAGGUGGUUGGGUAAGAUUGACGUGAAAGCUUCUGGCUUAACUGGAAGAGGUCGUUGAUGACUGCUCGACUUGAGACGAGGAGAGGGGUGCAGAAUUCCCGGUGUAGUGGUGGAAUGCGUAGAUAUCGGGAGGAAUACCAGUGGCGAAAGCGGCACCCUGGCCUUAGUCUGACGCUCAGGUGCGAAAGCGUGGGGAGCGAACGGGAUUAGAUACCCCGGUAGUCCACGCUGUAAACGAUGAACACUAGGUGUAGGUGGUGUCAAAACCGUCGGUACCGAAGCCAACGCGAUAGGUGUUCCGCCUGGGGAGUACGACCGCAAGGUUA
rnacentral:rRNA from 1 species